AGCUCAACAGCCAGGCACUGGCUGCGUGCUAAAUCUACUUCCCCCAAUCUUUUAGCAGUACCUCAGCUAAAGCAGCUGGAUUUGGGGCAGAAACCCUUCAGCACUGCUCAGCACACUGAAGCCUAAUGCAGGCUGUGCUAUAUCAGGCUGGAACGCCUCUGGGCACUCUACAGUCCCACGCCGCAUUUACUAGCACUGACUGAUGAGGGCUGGCCAGCAGAACACGCCAAAGAGCUGCGUGGAUCCAUAGGGUGAGAUGAUGUAAAGCACUGCCCAUGGCAAGGGGCAGGGUCUGUGCUGACCUUCAUGCUGGCAAAGGCUGCAGAAAUCAUAGAAAAACUCAAGCUGGAAAGGACCCAUAAGGAUCAUGGAGUCCAACUUCUGGUUGAAUAAAUUUGCCCUCUGUGAUUUCCUAUCUCCAUCCCAUCGGGGCUUCCAACAAGAUCUGCUUUGCUCUGCGCUGAAUAGGAGCAGCCACACAUAAGGGCUCUCUGAUCACACUCACUAUAUACAUUCUUUGGGGGUGGUCAAAGAAGUUGAGUGAAAAACUCAGUGCUGCAAAGGCCCCAUGGCUGACACUUCGUUAUCUGCAUUCUGCGUGCAAGUUUUCUCUGUUUGCACACAUUUACAUUAAAGUUUAAUAAGCUUCAUUGAAGUAUUUUCAGGUUCUGCGGAAAAACAAAAUGCCAAAGAAACCUCAGACUGCGGGUUCCUAAUGUCCUUGCUCAGAUUUCAGCUUUUGAGAUGGUACAUCAAAAAGGAACAUAAUGAAGCUGCUAUUAUUACUAAUGUCUUCCCCAUUAUCCGAGUUGCAGGGAACAAUUAAAUGGCGUCAAUGAGGCGCUGCUACGCUUGGAUACACCACCAUGUUGCAGCGUGAUUUCACCUCCUCUUCUGCUCCUGCUCUUCCCCACCUGCUCCUCUUCAGCAGGCAGCUUCCAGUGAAACUCAAAGAAAACUUCAAAUGUUUGGAACUCCUUUCAGAAAUAUGAAAUAAAACGUGUGCUGAAAGUAUCACCCCCCGGGGGAAUUUGCCCCCUAGCAGCAGCAGCUCUUUGGUACCUUCAGCGUGGGGCAAAUUGUACAACAGUUCCCCACAAUGGUGAGAGCUCGGUGUCAGCCUUGAAGUUAAGAUUCAAUCGGUGUGCAAAACUCAGAACCUUUCAACCCACACCUACACAGCUGCAAGCUCUGUCUGCAGUUUGCAACCUUCUUCAUCCACCUGGGUCUGAAUGGUGAGUUGUAGGGUGGGAGGAGCUACUGGGUAAGGAGGGCAGCUGGAAGGUGUUGGGUUGUUGAUGGGGUGCUGCUCAGGACCUGAAAGUUAUAAAGGGAACAAGUGGAGGACUCAGUGCAGGUGGUGUAUGGUGAGUUAGCAGAGAGUGGAUGGGACUUGCUCGUGGAUCUCCAAGGGUUUCCCAGACACAGCUCUCAUUUCGAGCUCUUUGACACAAGCAACCAUUUCUUCUGUGAGAGGCUGAGAUCAUACGACAGGAUUAUAAAUUUACUCCUGAAACGUCCCAUUAAUAAAUGAUAAAGUGUUUAUAAAUAUGCAAAAUAGAUUAUUAGUCAAUUCUACAAAAUCUUGGCUACGGGAGCAUAAAAGUGUGCCCUGCAGCUUGUAUGUCUAUUAUAAAAAAGAGGAAGGAACUAUAAAGAAAUCCAGGCUCCCUUUCUAACUUCCGAGCAGCAAGUGCUGAAUAAUUUACUUCUGAUAGUGAUUGUGUUUAAAAGCAAAUCAUUUGUUUCCUUCAACAGCUGCAAACAAUGUGCUGUAAAUAUGUGAUUUAAAAAACGUUGUGCAUAAGCAAAGGGACAAAGGGAGUUGUUCAUUUGAACAGCUCAUUAAAUAGCAGCUUUUCAGCACAGGGCUCCCCCAGUCCAUAGGCACCCUGAGAGGUACCAUUGCUUUCUUUAAGCUUAGCAGGCUUUGGGAAUGCUAAUCCUGCUUAAAUAGACCUGACUUCAACAACGGGAGCUCAGACUGGAGGCUUGAGUGAAGUCCUGUUUAAUUUGGCUGCUGUCAAGGCGAAGGAUGAACCGUGUCUGUUGUUUUGUGUAGGCCCAUCCUUGGCAGCUGGUGGUUGCAGCGAUAGUUUGACCAUUGCUCCAGAAGAACCCUCUGUAUCUCUCCUUUGCUGUCACUCAGUCUAUGAGGGCAUUGCUAGACCACAACUAUUGGGGAUGGCAGGGAGGAAUUCAAGGUUUUUGUGGUCAAGUGUUGGUGGAGAGCAGGGCAGAAGGGCAGGGACCCCCUCGUCCUUUUCCCGGCACUGAUAGCAUUUGCUCACCAUCAACACCUCGAACUGGUCUGACCUUAGAAAACAAGAAAAAUUACUUUGAAAGCCUCUUUUUUUCUGUUUACCUGAGAAAUAGCAUAACAGUGCUGGGCUUUGUGCCUUUAGGAGUCCUUAAGCAAGGAGUGGGAUGGAGCUAGGUGACGGCAGAUGCUGUCCAGAAGGCACUGCUGAGACAACACUGCUGACAGCCAGGCAGAAAUGAAGUGGGGAAAUGUCAAAUGUUCUUGACCCGAGCUAAACCGUCAUGAAUUGAGGGCAGGAGACGAGAGAAAUGUCUGUAAAGAAGAGCUGCUUUCCAGCUAAAUAUAUUUGUACCAGGGCAGUGGCAGUCUGGAAACUGAUGGCAGCAGGGGGGAACAGCUUGGGGGUGAGGGCUUUACAAGUGGUGUUUUGAGGAGCUGAAGAUGAUUUGAAGCAUUUUAUUCGUCUUCGCUUAUCAGCAGCGCUGUGCUUAUUCUGGGCUGGCAUCAGGGCUGAUGAGGAACAGCCACAUCAGCCCAGACGGCUUCAUAUCUCCUCUAACAGACACAGGGCAGCACGAACACACGCAUUACCUGGCAAGAAAUACAGCCAUGUUCAAUCUUUUUGUACUGCAGCCAUUUGAUUUCAGUGCUUCACCCCCAGGGCUGGAAGGAGGAAUCCUAAAUCAAAGUCUAUGGGGCACCUGUGUGCCACCACCUUCCCAUCAAGUUGUUGGCUUAGGAGAAAGUUCUGAGGCUUUUCCUUCCUUUCCCACUGCUAAAGUGGUGCCUAUUAAGACGUGGAGAGCUGCAUCUGAAAUGUUAAGGCCGUUUGCUUCUUAGCUUUAAUAGCAAUGGUCACUCGUUCCGUACUGUUGUUUUUUCAUCAGAUGGAAGUGCUGCUUUGAAUUAAACUCAGCUCAUUGAACAUGCCCUGAGCAAACGGUCAUUAGAAAAGCAAACCAAGUGGGAACCUGGUUGGUUGAGCUCAGAGGAGCAAAUGUCUGCUGGAAAUGAAGGCUAGGAGAGUUUCUGGUCUCUUAGAAAUUGGUAAUUGCCGGCUGAUAGGGAGAUGAACUGUCUUCAAUGAUGUUUCUGUGCAGCCUAGUUACAGACUACUUGGUCUUAAGCAAUUAGAGCCAUUCCUGCUUCAUACUCUAAUAGAGCUCGUUGUCAGGCAUAAUUCAAAUUAUCUCAGUGCUAAGCUAAUGUCUCUUUGAUAGCACUUGCCAAACAUCGCUGACAAUUUUGUACUUGUAAGUAUCAAGGCAUCCAAAGAUCACUGACAGACACAGGAGGGGCACCUCCUCCCUUCUCCAGCAUUAUAAAUAUGUAUUUUAUGGCUCUGUUGAGUUAACCUCACGCUUGAGUACAGACAGCGGCUGCCAGUGAGAGCGGUAACUUGUAUGAAGGUGGCAAUCCUACAUCCAGCAAAUGGAAGGUCGUGCUAUACCUUGGUCUGUGCAGGGCUCUAUCAGAAAUCAAAUUAACCUGUUAAGAGGACCCAGUUAAAAUAUAUACAUAUAUGAGGAUGUGUCUUGUAGCUUCAAGUUUCUCCCAUGUGAAAACUCAGAGAGGCUAAAAUGAGCAUCCCCUUUCCACCCAGAACCCCAGCUGCAAUCAUCUUUAUCCAACUCCAGCUUUUCAGCCCUUAGCUAAGAAAUUACACCAGAUUUUUGGUCAUUUAUCUCCCACUUGAGUUCUCAUCAGAAAAGCAAGCGUGUGCAGAUUGCAGCUGCUGCUUUUCAUUUGAUCUUCCCUUCUGCAGUGUGCACCAAAUAAGGAAGCUAGUCCUGUUUGAGCAGGGCUGGGUUAGGCUGGUGCUCCUCUCGCUGGGUCAAACUUCCUACGAACACCAGCUUUGCUGCACAACAGCUGGCUCAUGGCUGAGGCCUGAUUACAUUUUGAUAAGCACGUUGAAUUGGAUUUAACUUCACUUUGGCAGGACGUCAUUCAAAAAGCACUGGCUGGUUGGCAGCUGCCCUUUGUCUACAGCACUGAAUUAGUCUGACUAUUAAAAGAAGGCAUGAAGACAUCAAGACAGGAACAGCUCUGGAAUGUGGGAAAGAGGCAGAACUGACUCGUGCAAGGGGCACUGGAUCAGUCUGUCCCAUAACUAGCAGCCCCUCCUCGCUUUAUUUAAACAUGGUGCAAGAGAAGUCUUCAGAGGACUUGCUCAUAGUCCUAAAAUGAGCAUUAAAUCCCCACGUGCCUCACUGCCCUGAUGCUCAUAUCUAUCUCUUCAGCAUCUCAUGUGCCCUGAAAGCCACAAGGCAAAAUUGCUUCAGACUGGGAACUGAGACACAUGACCCAUCUGGAAGGCUGGAGCCCAGUGCUGAUGUGCAGUCUGGCCACCCUGGGGAGGGGACACGGCUCGGUUCACUCCGCUUGGCUCAAAGCCUGGGACAGCAGGGCUGCAGACUGCGGGCUUGAUGCUGCUUAACAAGGUUGGAACCAGCAGUACUGAUAUCUUCACUAUUGCAGAGAUGUUUGCUUUAUGAAUCCAGAUGUCAAUCUAAGGGUAUUGAUAGGGACUCUGUGUGACUGAAUGUAUUUCUCUUCUGUGCUGUCACUGCCAGUUUCUCUCCUUGUCACGCUCUGGUUCAGGCUCACUGUACAAAGGGAUGUGCAGCUCUCUGUACUAAGGCAGUGUGCAAGGCACUGUGAACAUCACUGUGCUUCACCAAAUGACAAACCCUUUCCCAUCCCCUCCAUAAACACAGCAGCACAAGGACAGGUUUCAAGAACAUGUUUAAUGAUGGAGGUUUCUACUGAAACAUGAGAUGUCCAUUCAAACUCAUCUUAUUCUCUUAUAUAAAAAAAAGAAGAAAAACAACCAACUUUUGGUCACAACAACAAAUUCUCUUAAAACACCUUUAAACAAAGUUCAAGCAAUUGCACAGAACGAAACUCAUGGUCCUGGUAACUCCUCACACAAAGACUGCAGCAGCAGAAACUCAUCUAACAAAAGAAAAAGAAACCCCUUAAUGAAAACCACAGCGUGCCACCCUGCAGAGAUUAUGCCACGUACAGUGCUUUAGAGGGAGCAGUAAUGAACAAAAUGUUCAGAUGCAUUAGCAAUUAAGUGUUCAUUAGACUUCUACAAGUCGUUUGGAGCUUAGGAUAAGCAUUGACCUGUGUACAAGUUAACGCGCUGAACAAGUGUUUGCAGUCAUCUCCACAUCUUCCAGGGAAGGGGAAAAAAUACAACCUGUGCAUUUCUGCCUUGAUCCUGCAGGCAAACAAGGCACGCUGACUUCUGCGGUUGGAGUAACGAAGCUGUGAUUCUGUGCAGGGUUUUCCUCCGCAGCACAGCAUGCACAAAGAGGAAAACCUCUAAUUUGCUUGCCCUGUUUGACUCUGCUCCUAGUCAGUGGAUUUUGUAAGCGGUGAGCAAGCUGCAGGCAGACAUCUAUAAUAGUAUUUCUUUUAUUCUCUGUAACAGAAAAAAUGCCUUUAAAAUGCUCUUGAACAAAGCGAGCUCGACUACGCAACACAAAACAGCAGCAAAUACUAAGACACAAUCACAAUCAGAUUAAACCUGCACUGUAAGAUGCACAGAACGUUAAGGUAAAACAUUCAUGUAGUGGUUAAUGGUUAUUCCUUUCUGAUGAACUAGAAAUACCUGAACUAAACAGUCCAAAUUAUUAAAACUAUGUUUCAAACUAAGUCCUUCCUACAAUUAAAAAAAUAUUCUUAUAUAUACUAUUAGAUGAGUCACGUCAAGUGCUCUUAAAAUCUUAACUAAAUAUAGCUAUGGAAUAUUUACCUGGACAAUUUAAAUCACAUACAGCAACUUUUAUAGAGGUAAACAUUGCCUCACAUUUCCAACAGCAACUGAGCAACAUCAAACAAAGAAUUCGGGUUCUUUUCGUGACCAUGAGCAGUGGGUGAGGCUGGCCUUUUAUUUCUAACAAGAAGCUGCUCCCCCCUCCAAGCGCUCUUUAGCUUGUGGCACAUGAGCCUCUGUCUUCAACAUCUGAAAUGCUUGGUCCCCAUCCACCACUGAGAUUCGUCCAUGUUAUAAAACAGUGGGGUUUUUAGCCACAAGCAAGUGGAGCAGAUGGCUUCUGCCAGCUUAACUCUGCGAGUAACCUGAAGUUGGUGGAAAUAAUUCAUUUCAAGAACUGACUCGCCCUUGGAAAGAAGUACCCUUUAUGCUCCUCUCAUCUUUCUCCUUUGUCACUUGGUCUUGCCCCUCUUUUGUGCAAAGAGGCUUUAUUCCCUCCAUCCCCACCAUUUCCAGAAUGCCUGAUGCUCAGCUUAAUGAAUUUGGCAGAAUUGUGGACAGGAACGUGUUGCCAUGGUGUUUGCUCAGACAGCACAGCUCCUGCCCUUCAUCACCUCCUCCAGCAAAUACAAAAGGAGCUUUUAACCGAGCUUUCCUCUCAGCAUCGCCGCUUCUUUGACUUCAGAAGGAUUCUACCUAUCUAAAUUUAGUUCCUGCUUUUUGAAGUACUUUAGUCCUGAAGAGACACGCUACUUCCUUCAGAAUCACCCAGCCUGAAUCCCAAGUCUGUUUUACCAAAGUGGGGAAAGAUUCUCUAGCUUUCAUCUCAACCUGCAGCACUGCUCAACCCACCAGUACUUACAUGUUAUACCAUCCAGGAGACAACCUGAUGGCCCCACCGUCGGUUCCUCUACUCUCACUUCGAGCUGACAUGAAAUAUUGCUUAGUAACAGUUCUGUGGAAUGACUCAAAUUCAUUCCAUGAAUGAAAAUAGCAGAGCGUUUUUAGAUUGCCUUGAUGACUAAUGGUAACACGACAGUCUCCCGUGAGAUUUUUCCAUGCCAGCUGAGUGGGAUGUUUGUGAAGCCUUUGCUAAGUCACAGUUACGGAAAGCAAGCUACGUUAUGGGAGCUACUCUGAUGAAAGCACAAGGCUGCUGGGGAAAAGAAAUUCCCCUUCUCCUCCUCUUACGGACUGCAGGGCCCAAAAGAACCGCGAAGAACUAGCAUAGGUUAUAGCAUCAUGACAAAGCAGUUUAGUGUUCUCAGCAAUCCUCAAUGCCACCAAAAAAAUAAAAGGCAACUCACUGCAAGGAUGGUUCUUGGCCAGAUACUCUGCAGUCUCCUUGAAGGGUUGUAACUGUAGGAAUAAGUCAAGCAAACAUUGGGACAAUCCUAAGACAAACAGAAAAUGCGUGGUUCCCAAGAAAAGCAGGGUUCUCCAGGCAGCUUCAAAACCCAACGUACGAAGGUAUUCAAGGGUGCAGCAAAUGAGGAGCAAAUGCAUCAAAGAGAAAUCUGAGCUGCAUCUGUGGUUACUCUAAGGGAAAACCACAAUGUGAAGAAACAAAACCAGUUAGCUUUGCCUUUUCUAAUGACUGCCUGGAAUGUGUAUGUGCUUGUGGUUUCCUUAGCUUGAUCCAUCCAGAUGCAGCAUCUCAUUUUAUUAGUGUCCUCCCACAGCUCUGACCUCUGCAGCAUGAAGCGUAGCAGGGAGUAAUGGUUCAAAACGCAUCCUUGAGUUUAAUGGGAUUUGCCAAGCAGGUGGUAAGGGAAAACUUCCAGUUUUUUACAGAUCCCUUACAUAAAGCUUCCACCAAAGUGGUGAUCUUUCUGCAAUUGAAUCAUUCCACGUGAGGAACUUACUUUGCUUAGAAAAAAGGUAAUACAGAUGAUUGGUAGACAAGUUACAGUAAGCGUAGGACACACAACAGUACAAAACACUUUGACUCCCCAUGGAAGGGCAGAAAAUUACAAAAAUAUAUCUUUUUUUAAUCUAAGAUCGUUGUAGUUUAGGGCAUGUCUGAUUCCUCCUAUUUCCCUGUGGUCUCGUUUAUUGUUGGUCUGGUCAGAGCUCCUUGGGACACUGAAAAUGUCAUUAGGAAAGCUUAGUGCAACUGUUAUGUUUAAAAA